UCGUGGACACGACCAGAUUUAAAUGUCGUUUGCGGACGCGCCGUGAGUUUUGAACACGGUUUGAGCGGGUUUUGAGUCGAGGACGGAGGGAAGCCGUUCGCAGUUCGUGUCCCCGGACAUGCGUCUCCACGUUGUGGUCGCUGCCAUGCUGUGGUGUGGCUUCGCCGAGUCGCGGAAGAUAAGAGGGAUUUCUUCGUCCUACAAACGCUUCUACAGAGAGAGGAAGUCGUUUCUGUGCAUCGACGGAUCCAACAUCAUCCCCUUCGAGCAGGUGAACGAUGAUUACUGCGACUGUGAAGAUGGUUCUGAUGAACCAGGAACGUCAGCUUGCCCUCGUGGCCGAUUCUACUGCACCAAUCUGGGUUUCCGCCCACACUACAUCCCAUCAUCAAGAGUCAAUGAUGGCAUCUGUGAUUGCUGCGACGCCUCAGAUGAAUACAACAGCCACGCUCGCUGCCAGAACACUUGCUGGAAUCUGGGACAGAGAGAGAGAGCGUACGUGGAGGGCCAGAUGAGGACCUUGGACGAGGGUCUGCUACUCAAGCAGCAGCUGAUUGAGGAGGGAGUGCUGCUCUGGAGGGAGAAGCAGGCUCAGCUCAGGGAGCUCCAGCAGGUAGCAGAGGACCUACAGAUCAAACUAGAGGAACACCGGAGGAGGAAACACGAGGCCGACCGAUUCAAAGAGCAAACGUUAAAGGCGCUGGGAGCAGGCGACAGCGGUCUCAAAAAUCAGAACGGCACAGUAACCAGCAUGUUCCAGUUACUGGACACCAAUAAAGACGGCAGUAUAACAGUGGAUGAAGUCCAGGCUAAAGUGGCACUCAUCCAUGACGAGGAGCGGAUUCUUUCGGAGGAUGAAGCAGAGGCUUUGUUGGGAGGAGACUUUCACAUGGAUGUCGCUGAGUUUCAACACACACUCUGGGACAUCCUGACAAAAGGAGACAGUGUCAAGAUCAAAAACACACACAGUGCACCUGACAGUAUUGCGGGUGAGGAUCCUCACGUAAAAGCUGCUGACAGUGCUGCAGAGUGGGAGGCUACCAAUCUGAAGCAGGUAGAAGAAGCCUAUGAUACAGUCAACAUGGAAAUAAGUGAUCUCCGGAAGAAGCUGGCCAUAGACUAUGGAACAGAUUGGGAGUUUCUGUUUCUGAACAGCCAGUGUUACAAGCUGAGAGUAUAUGAGUACACUUACACUCUGUGCCCAUUCAAUCAAGUCACACAAGAGGACACCGCAGGAACAGAGGUCUCAUUAGGGAAGUGGGGGAUGUGGGCAGGAACACAGAAGAACCAGUACAGUCAGAUGGUGUAUGAAAAUGGAGAGCCCUGCUGGCAAGGAGGUUCACGCAGCGCCACAGUCACGCUGACAUGCGGAACAGAGACAGCCUUGCUAUCGGUGAAGGAGCCCAGCAAAUGCCAGUACAUCAUGGACUUUCAGACUCCUGUGGCCUGUCAGCCGGUGCUGAAACAGCGGGGCAUACACAGUGAACUGUGACCCCUUCCUCCACUGGCCUAGCCUAGAUUCACCCGACUGGCCACCCCCUCUCUCCACACAUCCAAAUGCCUAGCCUGCAGUGGCAGGCCGGGGUCCUGAGGGUCCCCUCUGACAUCUGUUACCAGAACACAGACUUCCAAGAAAGUCUUGCUCAGAAAUGAAGCUGAAAUAUCCUGGAUACAAACCAAGUCUGCGCAGUAGCGACCGGAGAUGAAGCCACGAUAGCGAGGUACCGCUGAUACAUACGCUCCACAAAUUGCAUCAAGUAACUAAGCCAACCACCAGGGGACAACCAAGACAUUUUGGCGUCACUUUUUGAGAAGCAGUCGUCUAUCUUUGUAUACAGUCUAUGGUCAGACCACACUGAGAGAAUGAGGCCUAUGCAGCCGGGUAUUGUGAAGGUGUUUCUAAGUCUACAGCUCGUGUGUUUCGUUUACCUUCGCAGAUGACAAUUUCAUUUGUUCAUAUAAGCUCUGGUCCUGUGGCACCGGCGCCGCGCAAAUUCAGCCCGUGACAGACUGGAACUUGAUCGACAGUGGCAAUCCAAACACUUUCCGUGCCCUUCUGUGGCUGUUUCUCCCUCUGCAAAUUGUUGUUUUUUCCCUCUUGUAGCCCCCAUUAGGAUGAUAGAUGAGAAGAGAUGCAGAGGGGAUGGUUAAUCUUUCACGGAGAGAAAGACCCAGAGAGAGGAGGGGAGGCGGAGAGCAGCAUGCCCUGUACAUAAAUAAACAGGAUGUUGGGAUUUAGAAGGAAAACGUGUGGAGGGGAGAAAGAUUCCGGUGAUCACCGCUCACAGAUAAGAGGAUGGACGGCCGGGAAAAAGGAAAGAGAAGGGGACAAAGAAGAGUGAGUCUGAGUGAGGACAUAGAACGUGAUUGAAACAGAACAACAUGGAUAACAGAGGGAAUGAAAAGCCGAGUCUGUAUGAAGGGAGAGCAGAGCAAGUGGGAUAUAACGAGGGGGAGACAGGGAGCAGCGGGAUCCUGGUGGGCGAGGGGAGGGGAUUCUGGAGGGCUAUAUUGGGCUCAGUUUCUCCACAGGAGCGGCUUAAUGAGCACAGAGUUUGUGGACCUGUGGAAGCUGGCUGCAGAGGCUUUAAUGGAAAAUCCACCCCUGUUAUCCCUGAAGGUCCUCGGAAUCACCAGGUAGAAGCAGAGGAUGCCGGUUGAGGAGGCGGAGCUAGGACGCUUCUGGAUCUUGCUCAGAGGGAACUACCCAAAGAGGGACUUGCUAUUUAAUGAUUUAGUGAACUAAAUCUAGUAUAUGGUAAUUUAGCAAAUACUAGAUUUACACAUUAACUGAUAAAUCUUUGCACACUUGCUACUAUGUGGUUUGAUAUCCAUUACUGAAAAUAAAGAGAAAUGUUUCAUUGUUUCAAAGUGACUCUUUUGGAACAUCACCAAAA